rnacentral:lncRNA from 1 species
UGUUGCAACCAGCCUUCUCACUCUGGUUCCAGCCUUCUGCCAUGAGCUGAGGUUUUGGUUUCUGUGAGAAGCUGAGUUGAAGAGUGUGUCUUCAAGACAAGAAGUGGUUUGUCAACUCAAGUCUCUGACAGCUUUGACCUCAGAUUUGCCCCACACUGUGAUUCUUCCAUUUGCCGCUGCAAGAAAUGAGCCAGAACCAAGAGAGAUUAAGAGAUCAGAACAGACGAAUCUACAUGUCUGGUCAGGGUACACUGGACUGCUAUCACUGACAACCUCUCCCCUACCUCCACAAGACAUAGAAAUGACCCUGGAAGCCCCAUAGACGCUGUUGUCACUAGACAUUGGAUGCUGCUGCCACUGUCACUUCUGCCAAAAUGAGUUAUUUCUAGACCUUGCUUCUCCAGUCUAGAGUUAUUAGUGGUCUAGAUCACAUGGCAUGCCCUUAUUGACAAGAAUAUGGAAACUGAGUCACUGGCCUUGCACUUUAGUGAUGGAA